CCAUCCAGCCCAGACUCCUGAUUUAGGGCCCCAUACUUGACCCAGGCCACAAUCAGUGUCUGAACAUGCCCCCCUGACAGCAAAUGGAUAGCUGGAGAUUUAAGCAUAGAAGCAAGCAAUGGUAUGGAACAAACAGGAAAAAUGGAAAUGAGGAUGUUGUCCGGAUUCAAGGGCCUGUAACACUAUCUCUGCGGCUUAGUGGGUGCACUUCUGCAUGCCGACCACCAGAGGGCGGGCUUUCCUUUCUUUCCAACAUACCGCACCUGAACCAGAGCCUUCAGAAAUCCGGAAAAUCCACUUCGCCAAAAAGCUUCUUUGAUGACACUCCUUCAUCCAUUAAUCUGUUUACGCCACAAUAUGAAGCACACAACAUUAUCCCAGUCUUCAUACAGGAGAAGAUACCUGGACACUCUCCCGUCUGAAGUCUGUUCACUAAGUCAAGAGGAAUCCAGGGACACAGAGUGUCGGGGAGAAGGCCACAUGCAGAUGGAGGCAGAGAGUGGGGUUGAUGCAGCCACAAGCCAACAGAUGCUGACAGCCACCAGAAGCUGGAAGAGACAAGCAAGCUGGAAGAGAACCUCCCCGGGAGCCUCUGGAGGGAGCAUGACCUUGUCAUCCCCUGACUUCAGACUUCUGGCCCCCAGACCUGCGAAAGAAUAAAUAUGUGUUGUUGUAAGCCACCAAGUUCAUGGUAAUUUGCAUGGCAGCCACAGGAAACCGAUACAGUAGGUCUCCUGGAAUCCUUUCUGCAACACCAUUCAG